rnacentral:rRNA from 1 species
GUGGGGAACCUGCCGUAUACAGGGGGAUAACACAUAGAAAUAGGUGCUAAUACCGCAUAAGCGCACGCCUUCGCAUGAAGGAGUGUGAAAAGGCGAAAGCCGGUAUACGAUGGCCCCGCGUCUGAUUAGCCAGUUGGCAGGGCAGCGGCCUACCAAAGCGACGAUCAGUAGCCGGCCUGAGAGGGCGGACGGCCACAUUGGGACUGAGACACGGCCCAGACUCCUGCGGGAGGCAGCAGUGGGGAAUAUUGCACAAUGGGGGGAACCCUGAUGCAGCGACGCCGCGUGAGUGAAGAAGUAUUUCGGUAUGUAAAGCUCUAUCAGCAGGGAAGAAAAUGACGGUACCUGAAUAAGAAGCCCCGGCUAACUACGUGCCAGCAGCCGCGGUAAUACGUAGGGGGCAAGCGUUAUCCGGAUUUACUGGGUGUAAAGGGAGCGUAGACGGUUAUGCAAGUCUGGAGUGAAAGCCCGGGGCUCAACCCCGGGACUGCUUUGGAAACUGUAAAACUGGAGUGCAGGAGAGGCAGGCGGAAUUCCUAGUGUAGCGGUGAAAUGCGUAGAUAUUAGGAGGAACACCAGUGGCGAAGGCGGCCUGCUGGACUGUAACUGACGUUGAGGCUCGAAGGCGUGGGGAGCAAACAGGAUUAGAUACCCUGGUAGUCCACGCGGUAAACGAUGAUCACUAGGUGUCGGAGGGUAGAGACCCUUCGGUGCCGCCGCAAACGCAGUAAGUGAUCCACCUGGGGAGUACGUUCGCAAGAAUGAAACU